CCUACGGGGGGCUGCAGUGAGGAAUAUUGGUCAAUGGACGAGAGUCUGAACCAGCCAAGUAGCGUGAAGGAUGACUGCCCUAUGGGUUGUAAACUUCUUUUAUAUGGGAAUAAAAUGUUCCACGUGUGGGAUUUUGUAUGUACCAUAUGAAUAAGGAUCGGCUAACUCCGUGCCAGAAGCCGCGGUAAUACGGAGGAUCCGAGCGUUAUCCGGAUUUAUUGGGUUUAAAGGGAGCGUAGAUGGGUUGUUAAGUCAGUUGUGAAAGUUUGCGGCUCAACCGUAAAAUUGCAAUUGAUACUGGCAGUCUUGAGUACAGUUGAGGUAGGCGGAAUUCGUGGUGUAGCGGUGAAAUGCUUAGAUAUCACGAAGAACUCCGAUUGCGAAGGCAGCCUACUAAACUGCCACUGACAUUGAUGCUCGAAAGUGUGGGUAUCAAACAGGAUUAGAUACCCCAGUAGUC
rnacentral:rRNA from 1 species